GUUUACAGAGAAACGGAGCACACUCCACUCUACUCGCCUGCCUCCCUCUCUUCCCAGGGCUUGAUAGGCUACAUUCAGGUCACAUCUCCCCAGCCUCCCAAAUUCUUACACAGCAACACAACGUCAAGCCAACCAACAAACAAUCCCUUUCCCAGAAAUUAUCCCACUGGCUGCGAGAUGAUGAUGAAGAAGAAGGGGAAAAAAAAAACAAUCAGCUGGUUUACAUCACCCACCAACCAUAUUUUCAACUUGCAACAAACGUCAUCUAUGCUUUCCUCGCGGGUGCAGUAUUAAUUCGAAAAGGGGCUGAGUUUUGCAAUUUUUUAAAACAUUCUGAACGGGGUCACAUUAACUUUUUUAAGAAACAAUACAAUUCUAAUUGUUCCUGAUGCUGCUUGGCCUGCUGUGUUCAUCCAGCUCUAUACCUUGUUAUCUCACAAUUCCAAUUGAACUGUUUAGUUAGUUAAAUCCUGUAUUUUUCCCUCCCUGUUCUUGAUUAACAGCACAGCGCAAUUAUCGCUUCCAUACCAGAGUUUGUUUUGUUUAUAUCCUUUUAUUUCCUUUCGUGGGUAUUUUUAAAUCGACAAGACAGGAAAAGGAAUAUGACGGGCGGUUGUCACGAGAAAGGGAGAGAACCUUUGGAGUUAUUUCGUGAGAUUUUUCCAACCUCCGCCCACCGCCCUGAAAUAAAAGCACUCAGGCGAAAGGGGAGCAUGAAGCACUGAGUAAACAAUGGUGCACACCCUGGCAGAACACCACAGAUCAUAUAUCCUCCUUCAGCACUGAAACCAGGUCUUCUUGAGCCACUCAUGGGCUCUGACUUCUGCAGCCAUACCAAUCCAGACUGCCAAUGUUGCUUGGGUUGAUCUUUUUAUUGUCAUCCAUUUGGAAAGUAAAUUCCUGUGCUUCCUGGAAAUCUUUCAGCAGAAGAACCUCUUAUGAAGGCAUCACUGAGUCAUAGUGUCACUUUAUGCCUGGUCUCUGAGAUCUCCAGGAUUGUCUGGGGCUGAUGAAGAGAAGUUGAGGAAUACACUUGCAGAAAGUGAAAUUAUGUCCAAGUGCCUUUUUAGAUAUGGAGCCUGGAUUGUCCUGGUGGGUUUCAGAAUUCCUUGCCCACAAAAUGUGGAGUUCUACCCGUGCACACACACCUAAUAGGCUGAAAAAGUAUAAUUUCAAGAGAAAAUGUGGCCCGUCCUCCCAACUGAAGCAGAAAACCCUUCCACCUUUAGGACCAUGCUCCUGCCCCAGGUGUCUGCCAUUGGAGAAGGUCUUUGUAAAAAAAAUUUCCAAAGACCAACACUGGACAUGAAACUGAAAAUAAAACCAAAAAAAUAGCAUUGAA